GACAGAGGGUGCAAACGUUGUUCGGAAUUACUGGGCGUAAAGCGCGUGUAGGCUGCUCCGCAAGUCGGGUGUGAAAGCCCUGGGCUCAACCUAGGAAGUGCACUCGAAACUGCGGAGCUGGAGUCCUGGAGAGGAAGGCGGAAUUCUCGGUGUAGAGGUGAAAUUCGUAGAUAUCGAGAGGAACACCGGUGGCGAAGGCGGCCUUCUGGACAGUGACUGGCGCUGAGACGCGAAAGCUAGGGGAGCAAACAGG
rnacentral:rRNA from 1 species